rnacentral:snRNA from 1 species
GGGUGUGAACCCAACAGGGUCUGUGUCUGAUGUCACACUGAUGGUUUGGGUAUAUUCAGCGGAUCUCAGUCAGGGGUCCCCUUUCUCCUUCUCUGCUCCCUAGGAAUCCUUCUAGAAGCUGUGUUGUCUCUUUCCAAGAGGGUGAUGUCCCCAGAGAAAGGGAACAGUCCCUCAGGG